ACACACACACACACACACACACACACACACACACACACACACACACACACACACACACACACACACACACACACACACACACACACACACACACACACACACACACACACACACACACACACACACACACACACACACACAUACACACACACACACACACACACACACACACACACACACACACACACACACACACACACACACACACAUACACAAACACACACACACACACACGUACACACACCAAACACCUCUGCUGGGUUUGCAUUAACCAACCUGAUCUCCCGGUGGCUCAGCACUUCAACUCCCCCUCCCAUUCUGAAUCCUACCUUUCUGUCCUGGGCCUCCUCCAUGGCCAGAGUGAGACCCACCGUAAAUUGGAGGAGCAGCACCUCAUAUUUUGCUUGGGCAGUUUGCAACCCAGCGGUAUGAACAUUGACUUCUCUAAUUUCAGGUAAUCCCUACGAAAGAUCCUAUAGCGGAGCAAGAUAGGCCACUCCUGCCAAAUGCAACGGACUGGUGUGUAGUAGCACGUGGGCCUUUUGUUGUCCAUUUCAGUAACCGGACCCGACCUGACUCGCAGUGUAAUCAACGUUGCGUGGGAACAGUUAUAGGGUUAGUUUUGUUCCUUCAUAAUUCUGUUAAUUCAGAUUCAGAUUCUGAUUCAAACUUUAUUGUCACUGUGCAGUUAACAUCUCCCUAGAAAAGCGACAUAGAAUAUGAGCACUAAAUAAAUAUAUUUACAUGCAUACAGUUAUAGUAGUGCAAUUAUUGUUUUCCUGGUGGGUGAUUGGCAGUCACUGAGGGGAGUGAGGAACUGGUGAUGUAUUGGGCAAUUUUCACCACCCUCUGCAAUGCUUUCUGGUCGGAGACAGAGCAGUUGCCAUACCAUACUGUGAUGCAGUUGGUAAGGAUGCUCUCGAUGGUGCAGCGGUAGAAGUUCACCAGGAUCUGAGGAGACAGAUGGACCUUCUUCAGUCUCCUCAGGAAGAAGAGACGCUGAUGAGCCUUCUUGAUCAGAGUUGAGGUAUUGUGGGUCCAAGAGAGGUCAUCGGAGAUGUUGACUCCCAGGAACCUGAAGCUGGAAACACGUUCCACCUCCGUCCCGUUGAUGUGGAUGGGGGUGUGCGUGCUGUCUCUGGACUUCCUGAAAUCUACAAUGAGCUCCUUGGUCUUCUUGGAGUUAAGGGCCAGGUUGUUGUCAGCGCACCAUGCUGCUAGGAGCUGGACCUCCUCCCUAUAGGCCGACUCAUCACUGUUGCUGAUGAGGCCAAUCACCGUUGUAUCAUCUGCAUACUUGAUGAUGGUGUUAGUACCAUGUACAGGUGUGCAGUCAUAGGUGAAGAGGGAGUAGAGGAGGGGGCUCAGCACACAGCCCUGUGGAAUGCCGGUGUUCAGGGUGAGGGUUGAAGAGGUGUGCUUGUCUAACCUCACAGACUGGGGUCUGUUGGUUAGAAAGUCCAGUAUCCAGUUGCAGAGGGAGGGGUCGAUGCCCAGGUUACCGAGUUUGGUGAUCAGUUUAGAUGGUACAAUGGUGUUGAAUGCUGAGCUGUAAUCGAUGAACAGCAUUCUUACGUAAGUGUCUCUGUUGUCGAGGUGGGAGAGGGCGGAGUGAAGUGCCGUUGAGAUGGCAUCCUCCGUACUCCUGUUCUUGCGGUAGGCAAACUGAUAGGGAUCCAGUGUGGGGGGUAGGCAGCUUUUGAGAUGUGCCAGGACCAGCCUCUCGAAGCACUUGGUGAUGAUGGGGGUAAGUGCAACUGGGCGGAAGUCGUUGAGGCUUGCCGCAGUGGAGUGUUUUGGCACUGGCACGAUGGAGGUGGCUUUAAGGCACGUGGGGACAACUGCUUGGGCAAGUGACAGGUUGAAGAUGUCAGUCCAGACGUCUGUCAGCUGCGCAGCACAGGCCCUGAGCACGCCCGGGGAUGCCGUCUUGUUAAUUCUUGUUAAAUAAUAAAAUGUUUGACUCUGGU